UCUGCUUCUGUACCUCACUGCCUUUUCUGUACAUCAUUUUCCUUUUUCUCUUCAUCAAUUUUCUCUGACUACGCAGCAGCGCAGAGCUGCUCUGAACCUAUUUUGUUUCUGUGUCUAAUUUUUGAGUCUGAUUUGUGAAUCAUUCUUUGCUCAGUUAAAUUCUGUUAAAUUAGGCCAGGUGCAGUGGCUCACACCUAUAAUCCUAGCACUUUAGGCACUGAGGCAGGCGGAUCACUUGAGGUCAGGAGUUCAAGACCAGCCUGGGCAACAUGGCAAAACCCCGUCUCUACUAAAAGUACAAGAAUCAGCCAGGCAUGGUGGUGAGCACCUGUAAUCCCAGUCACGUGGGAGGCUGAGGCAGGAGAAUCACUUGAACCCGGGAGGCGAGGUUGCAGUGAGCUGAGAUUGCACCAAGGCCUUCCAGCCUGGGCGACAGAGUAAGACCCUGUCUCAAAAAAUAAAGAAAGAAAUAAAAAUAAAUUGACGAAGGAUUGAGCAUGCAAAAUAGAAUCAGCUUUUGACCCUGAAUACCCUGCAGUGAGAAUUCCCCUGUGGUUCUCAGGCUUCUGUAAUUCCAGCAAUACACUCUUCCUUCAGGUUCACUAAAAUGCAGAUAUUGUAAGAUAAUGCUCAUUUCUCACAGCUUGCUUCAAUAAUAAUGAUCAUCAUAGUAAUUUACAACUUAAUAGUCAACACUGCCUUUUUAACCCAGUCUGUGAGACUGAACCAUAAACGUGACAUUCUUUGAAGUAAAGCUCUCAAUUAAUAUACCAGACUGCAUAAACUCCAAUAACUUACCUUUCCACGGAAAGAGAAUAGGUGGGUAUUCUCUCUGAAGACAAAUGGUGGAGAGUAGACUCUCAUCAAAGACCCUCUGGCAGUAAUAAGUUGCAUUCCAGAAGGUUCCAGAAGGUUCUGUGGAAGGCUGCAGUUUGGGAUUGGUUCUCAGAUGUCUGUCUAACUGCUUUCUAAGGAUGAGGACUCCUGGUUUGUGCUUUAGCUACACCCACAGGAGCAACAGACUAAGACAUUCCUCCACACAAUAACAGAACCAGGGAGUGCAGACCAUGUGGGUCUUACCUGGCCUGUUGUCCACCGUCUGGUUUUAUCUUAGACCGAGCCUGCUGCAAUCCAUGUUGUGUAUUGGCACUCCACUUAAGUUUCCUGUUUGUAAAAAGCCCCUUUCAUUCGGUGAUUCCUCAGGGCUUUAGGGGAACUUUCUGGAAACCAGGCAGAAGGAAAUAAUGGUGGUUUUGCUGAGGAUGGGUGACGUUGGGCACGGGACCCAAAUGAGUGGUUUGAGCAGAAAGUAGCCUCCACGCUGGACUAAUGCAAUAGUCCUGCCAUGAUUUCAUUGCAGGGCUGUGACCGUCUACGACAAGCUGGCAUCUUUCUUUAAAGAGGCACCUCUGGACCUGCAGCACCGGCUCCUCAUGAAGCUCAGAACCUGAGGACCCAGCCAUGGAGCGGUCAGCCUUCAUGGAGCAGGAUGCUGGGAGCGGGCUGGUGAUGCGUCUCCAUGAGCGGCCAGCCCUGCUGGUCAGCAGCACACCUGGACAGAGUUUGAACAACUGACUCUUCACGGACGCAACCUUCCUUCUCUUGUCUGUGUGAUAACAGGCAAAGGGCCUCUGAGGGAGUAUUACAGCCGCCUCAUCCACCAGAAGCAUUUCCAGCACAUCCAGGUCUGCACCCACUGGCUGGAGGGCCGAGGACUACCCCCGCUUCUAGGUGAGAGGCCAGCAGGAGGCUCAGGGAGGAGGCGGGGACUUAAGCAGGGGUAACAGGCAUGGGCAUGAUGUACUUUUUCUGAAAAGGUGGCUCUGGAGGCCACUUGGGGACAGGACUUGGGCUCUGGCUUAACUCCCAGGAGGAGGCUACUUCCUGGUGUGCCAGCCCCUCCCUGCCAGGUGGCCCCAGAGGCCCUUUACCAAGGGGUUUGAGGAGGCCACGUCCUUUCAGCCUGCCAUGCCCUCCAUUCAGUCCUCUUCCUUCCUGCAGGAGGCCUGGGCCUGGGGUUGGGGCCACUGUUGCCCAGGUGUGGGAGGGCAGUGGCUUUGGGAGGGGGUCGGGGGUCGCUUGGCCUCUGUGUGUCCUACUGUCUUUGUCGGUGAGAUGGGACAAUGACAGCACACCCUCACAGGUGCUGGGGGCUGACAAAUGUCAGGUCUGAGGACAGUGGGUGGCCCACUACGGGGCCAGUUCCCCUUCUCUAUAGUCACCCUGCUCGUCUUCCAUCAACUGGGUGCUCAAGACAGUGGAGUGGAGGAUCCGCCUGUACAGCCUGUGCUCCAGCGUCAUGCAGGCCACAGCUCUGUCCAGCCCUGACCCCGACUGCCCCUCCUGCCACCUCCAUUUUAUAGAUGAGGAAACCGAGGCCCAAGGGCUUAGGGAACCCUGCUCUGAAGCACACAGUAGGGCUGCUGGGCUCAGACCCUCCCUCCCUGUGCUGAGCUACCCUCCUCCUGCUGCAAGCCCCCAAUGCCCCGAGCCCACCCUGCUCACCGGCCUCUGCCCGAGUUCCCCU
rnacentral:lncRNA from 10 species